CCUCCGUUUCUCUUUCUUUCCUCUCUCUCUAUUUCUCCUCUUUAGAAAAAAAUGGAAAAGGCACAGAACCCUUUCGUUGAACACAGGUCACGCGUGGCCAUUUGAAGUUAGGAAUUAAUGAUCUUGUCCUUCUCCUUCAGAUUUCCAUACCGUUGAAGCAGAUACUAACUCGGAGAAUUCGAAGUGUUUCGAGGUAUAUCGGAAGCUCGAGCCCCACUUCGCUGCACCCGAAGAAGGUCAUCCUAUUUCCCUCCUUUAGUAUAUUGUUAGUUUUUUUUUUUUUUGCUUAUCUGCACUAAAGUUGAUUAGUUAUGAUAUGUGUUAAGUGUUAGUCUUGUUUGGUUAUGUCGUCCUAAUUGCUAAGUUUAGUCAUGUUUAAAAAGCAUUUGAAUUCUUGUUUAUAUGUUAUUAUCAGUUUAGGUUUUUGAAUCAAGCAUGCCAAAUAAUUAGUUUAAUCAGCAUUAUGCCUGUUUUAGCUCCUGUUCAGCAUGUUUAUUAGUUUAAAGUCUUGUUUAGCUGCACCUCUCUACUAUUUUCUUAAUGAAUCCACCCCUAUUAUGCUAAGAAUAUGAUAUCAAUAGCUCUUGGACCAUGUUUAGAUAGUAUCUCUCCUGUAUAGCUCUAUCUGUGCUAUAAAAAUUCAUUAAUGCAGAGUGUGAUGCAUGCCUAAUGGUCAUUAGUGGUUUAUACAUUACUGGUAAUUUAUGUAGGUUGGAUUAAUGAUAUUUAAAGGGGUUUUGAGCCAUCAUGUGACUAGUAUAAGAUCUGUUUUGCAAAGGGAUUUGCUAGUUAGAUAAAGUGUGUUGUGUUCUUGUCUCAUUUAAAUUUAAACUUGAAAUUUGGUUAAGAAGUAAUGGUAGAUGAAUGUUAAGUUGUGAACAUGAUCCUAUAUGCUUGAAUGUUAGUAAGAUCUGAGUCAUCUAGAUUGGUUUUGAUGUCUUUGGAGUUGUUUCUUGUGAAUAUUUGGGUGAUAGAUGUUCGGAUUCAGUCGCGUUAGUUUCGUUCUGUUAAAGCAUGUCUACUAACUGACUUAAUCAAGCUUCGAUUAGUUUUUGACCAUUAUGAAGUAGCAGCCAGUCCUAGAAUGAAACUGUCAUCUUCCCUCAAACUUUGGUUUGUUCAAAUGGUCGGGGUUGUUUUAACUUGAGUAGUUUCCUGAAAAGAAUGAGUUGUAUUUCUUAAAAGCGAUCAGCAGAAGUGCUUGAAGAUCUUUUUUUUUUUUUGUGAAAAUGACCAAAUGCCAAACUUCUAAACUAUUUUUUUUCCUAUUUAAACUCAUCCUGGCUUUCUAAAUACCAUAAGAAUAGCCGACUCUGUCCAUGUUCAGUGUUAAGGCUUCUGCCCGAAUAGUUUAAGCUCCCUAUUUUUCAGUUAUCAUUCGGUGAAAUGUGAUAUCCCCUUCCUCUAGUUAAUCGAUGAAGCAUGCUUUUAUUUUUACUUUUGGGACAGUGAUCAGCCUACCAUUCUUUAGUUUUAAUUUUGAAAAAAGGAAAGAAUAAUUUGUAUGCCUCUUUGCCAUAUUUUAGUUAGUGUUUGUCGUGCUAGUUGAUUUCUUAUGGUGUAGUUUCAAACCGGGCUGCUAAAUGAGGGAGAAGUUUAAGUUCUAGUCUCUCAUCUGUUUAGUGUAUGGUCUCGUGGUCGUUCCUGUUCAAAUCUAUGUCCAUGAUGAAGGCCCUCGUGCUAAGUAGAUGACAUUGUGGGGAAAGACUUAAGUAUGUGAAAUCUAGUUUGAGUCGUGUUGUUGACCUUGUUAAGUCGCCUCAUGGCCACUGGGCUGAAAUGUCAUUUUUUUACCAUAUUCCCCUGCUGGGCUGCGAAGGCCCAGUGAUAUAUAUGUGUGCACCAUCCACCAUUUUGUCCGUGAAUUAUAUAUGUGUAUAUUAAAUAUACACAAUGUAUAUAUAUAAAUCAUUUGUCUGUUGAGAUUGCUCUAUUAAGUUGGCAUGACAAGGUUCUACUUUUGUUUAUUAUUCACGUGGUGGCUUCAUUGUGUUACGGCUAUUUGCUUUCUUUUUUUUUACAUUUAUUUGAGGAAUGGGUCUUGCAAAUCCUCAUUGUACUAAUCCUUUUUCUUUCAUUUUUUUUUUGCAUGAACCUCGCAUACGAGUCCGAGAGACUCGUCUUCCACAUUCAUUGUUGGGCUAAAAGCCCAACAUAAUAUUAUCGAGUCAUUCUCUGGGCCGAAGUCCAACAGCAGCAGCCACAUAUAAAAAUUUACUGGGCCAAAGCCAAGUAGCAAAUGGAACGCAGCAACAGUCCCUAAGAAUGGGCUGAACCCAUUUCACUUAUUUAUUCCUCCAUUUUACUCUUUUCAUGCAUUUAAUUUGUAUUGCAACUAACUCUUUGUUUGUUUUGUUUUCUUAAUUUAGAUAAAUCCUAAUGAAUUAGUAGUUUUUAAAUGGGUAGUUAGUUUAGGGAAGACUAACAAUUAAUUCCAUAAGUUUAUUAUCUUCUUUCCAUGAUUAAAACUA